CACGUAGGGUGCGAGCGUUGUCCGGAAUUAUUGGGCGUAAAGCGCGCGCAGGCGGUUUCUUAAGUCUGAUGUGAAAGCCCCCGGCUCAACCGGGGAGGGUCAUUGGAAACUGGGAAACUUGAGUGCAGAAGAGGAAAGUGGAAUUCCAAGUGUAGCGGUGAAAUGCGUAGAGAUUUGGAGGAACACCAGUGGCGAAGGCGACUUUCUGGUCUGUAACUGACGCUGAGGCGCGAAAGCGUGGGGAGCAAACAGG
rnacentral:rRNA from 1 species